AGGAAGAGGAGAACGGAGCCGAAGAAGAGGAGGAGGAGGAGACAGCCGAGGAUGGAGAGGAGGAUGAUGAAGGGGAGGAUGAAGAAGAGGACGGCGACGAGGACGAGGAGGAGGGUGAAGGGCCCGCACUGAAGAGAGCCGCCGAGGAUGAGGAUGAAGCGGCUCCCAAGAGGCAGAAGACAGAGAACGGGGCUUCCGCGUGAACCCCAGCCCGCUGGGCCGGGCUGGGGAUGGGGGCAGGGAGGUCGCGGGGGAGGGGGCCGGGAGAGCCGUCCCAC